ensembl:lncRNA
AUGAAUGGAAGGAAAUCUGUUGAAGAGCUGGGAUUUGAUUCCUCUCCAUGGCUGAGGUAUGGGAUGGCUGUGAGGUGUGGAGGCCUGGGAUUUCCUGUGUGUGGCAAGUGGCCAUAUGAAGCUAUCUUCCAGAGGAGUUGCUGCAAGACAUCAUCCUGGCUCUCAUCCAUCCAUGCCGCCACAAAGGUUGUUCCUGAGAAGACCCACAAGGCCGUGUCUCCACGUGGCAACAGUGAGUGUGACUGUGGCUGGAGUACCACAUCCUGCCCACCUCCCCAUGGGUUGCAUUAGGCAGCAGUGGUGUCAUGUCCUGCUGCGUGCACUGGGAGGGCUUGUGCCUGCAUUGUGAGGGCCUGCCAACAUCUGUGCUCCUGUCUGCUUCAAGUAUUGGUACAGCAAUUUUGUCUGUUGUCCUACAGCUUUGAGGAGUUUAAGGGUGUGCUUCAGGAACAUGGGGCAUAGUGCUUUCUUGCAGGGAUUAAAGUGAAGAGGAGAACCUUAAAGCAAAUGAGAAGGAUUGGAAUUAGCUCUGAUUCCAGAGAGUCAUUCUUAAACUCUCUCUUUUCAUAAUCCAAGUCAAAAUACUACCAAUUCUACUAAAUCUUCAAUUUUCUUGCCUUUUAUGUAUCAACACCAGGACAAAGCAAUUACAGCCCCUGGAGACACACAGGAGUGAAGUGAGUGAGGCAGAGAUAUUAGCAUUGCUGUUGUCCUUUCUGGCCUUGUCCUCUGCCUUUAUUAAUCUGCAUGCGUAAAUUAAACUGAAAUUAAACUCUUCAUUUAUCAUCAUGUUGUGGUGACAGCAUGCAAGACCAUAAUGCUUUACAAACAUGUAGCACUACAUUAACAUCAAAAACAGAUUCUUCCCCUGAGAGGGGGGAAGAUUUCAAAGAAUGCAGAAAGAUAUCACAGGGCUGUAAUCCCUCUUGAGGCACAGAAAACAACCGAUUGUUGAAAUCCUCAGAGCGGGAGGUGGGCCCAGGGAUCUGCACAACACAUGUAGGCUGUAUAGCUUUUCCACUAUUGAGAAUGAAGAUGAGAAAUUGUGAAGGAAACAAGCUUAGGGGAGAAAACAAACAACAACAGAAAACCCCACCCAACAAAACAAAAAAAACAACCCAAAAAGUAACAAAAACAAAACACAACCAACCCCAAAACCCACAUGGUAAAAGGGAAAAGAUACUGUAUGGUAAUAAUUCAGUGUGACAGCCUAGAGAAGGGCAUUGCUCCUAGUACCAGCCCUCUUGAUGCAGACUGUCUCUGCUACAGCAGGCUGAGCCUCUGCUCACAUCCAUGUGCUGUCUUCACCUGCUGCCAUCUGUGCUUGUAGGGCACUGGGCUGCCCCACUUACCUCCAUGGGAUGCUAGCAGAUAACCCGAGAUCCACCGGGGCCGUCUGUGUGGACUUCUUGUGGUCCUGAUUUGGUUAAGUACUUAAAUACACGCUUAAGGGAUUUUCUGAAUUUGAUGUUUUUUGUUCUGCUGGCUCCCUCCAUGUUUCCGGGCUCCCUGAGCACUUGACUUCACCCCUGCUUUACCAUUUAGGUAAAGGUAUUUAGGAUGCUCCUGCUGUCCAAGGCUCAGCCCUUCUCCUUCCCUUCAGCACUCAGGAAAUGCCUCACAAGGUAGGUCAUUUUGGAGUUAUUUUGUGUAGAAGCUGUGCUUGUUCUGCCCAUACCCACCCCUGUAGGUAGGAGCACAUUCUGUCCAGCCAAGAGCUGCACAGUGCAUGGUCCUCAGUCCCAGUGGUGUGUCUGGCAGCUGCCACUCCUUGCUGCACAGCCUGCAGAGAUUUAGGUGAUUUAAGACCCUACCUCUGAGGAGCUCCAGAGCUCCUAGGCCACAUCAACUGUUAAAUAAAGUUCCCUCCCUCAGACA